rnacentral:rRNA from 1 species
UACGUAGGGUGCAAGCGUUAAUCGGAAUUACUGGGCGUAAAGCGUGCGCAGGUGGUCAUGUAAGACAGAUGUGAAAUCCCCGGGCUUAACCUGGGAACUGCAUUUGUGACUGCAUGGCUUGAGUACGGCAGAGGGGGAUGGAAUUCCGCGUGUAGCAGUGAAAUGCGUAGAUAUGCGGAGGAACACCGAUGGCGAAGGCAAUCCCCUGGGCCUGUACUGACACUCAUGCACGAAAGCGUGGGGAGCAAACAGGAUUAGAAACCCUUGUAGUCC